AUCUUAUGUCGACAUUCCUUAUGGGUUCCAUUAUGUUCCAGACAUGAUAUAAUCAAUUGAGAUUAAUUAUUAUCAGGACCUUUAACACUUUGCAGCUUGGCGUCCCAAGCUACAUUGUUUGGUACCUGUACCUUAGAGCCGGCCGGCCUUAUCUCCAUGUCUGGGAUGGUUUCCUUAAUAACCUCGGUUCCUAUUGCACCUU
rnacentral:lncRNA from 1 species